AAUGAACGCUGGCGGCGUGCUUAACACAUGCAAGUCGUACGAGAAAUCCUCUGCUUGCAGGGGAGAGUAAAGUGGCGCACGGGUGAGUAUCGCGUGGGUAAUCUACCCUUGAAUUCAGGAUAACAUUUCGAAAGGGGUGCUAAUACUGGAUAACAUCCUGAUGGUUUCGGCCAUAAGGAUCAAAGAUAGCCUCUACAUGUAAGCUAUAGUUCAGGGAUGAGCCCGCGUACCAUUAGCUAGUUGGUGGGGUAAGAGCCUACCAAGGCAACGAUGGUUAGCUGGUCUGAGAGGAUGAUCAGCCACACUGGAACUGAAACACGGUCCAGACUCCUACGGGAGGCAGCAGUGAGGAAUUUUGCGCAAUGGGGGAAACCCUGACGCAGCAACGCCGCGUGAGUGAAGAAGGCUUUCGGGUCGUAAAGCUCUGUCAAGAGGGAAGAAAGUGGGGGAUGGUAAUACUGUUUUCUAUUGACGGUACCUCUGAAGGAAGCACCGGCUAACUCCGUGCCAGCAGCCGCGGUAAUACGGGGGGUGCAAGCGUUAUUCGGAUUUAUUGGGCGUAAAGAGCGCGUAGGCGGUUUAUCAAGUCAGAUGUGAAAGCCCUGGGCUCAACCUGGGAAGUGCAUUUGAAACUAGUAGACUUGAGUAUGGGAGAGGGGAGUGGAAUUUCUGGUGUAGAGGUGAAAUUCGUAGAUAUCA
rnacentral:rRNA from 1 species